rnacentral:rRNA from 1 species
GACGAACGCUGGCGGCGUGCUUAACACAUGCAAGUCGAACGGUAAGGCCCUUCGGGGUACACGAGUGGCGAACGGGUGAGUAACACGUGGGUGAUCUGCCCUGCACUUCGGGAUAAGCCUGUGAACCUGGGUCUAAUACCGGAUAGGACCCUGGGAUGCAUGUCCUGGGGUGGAAAGCUUUUGCGGGGUGGGAUGGGCCCGCGGCCUAUCAGCUUGUUGGUGGGGUGAUGGCCUACCAAGGCGACGACGGGUAGCCGGCCUGAGAGGGUGACCGGCCACACUGGGACUGAGAUACGGCCCAGACUCCUACGGGAGGCAGCAGUGGGGAAUAUUGCACAAUGGGCGCAAGCCUGAUGCAGCGACGCCGCGUGAGGGAUGACGGCCUUCGGGUUGUAAACCUCUUUCAGCACCGACGAAGCGCAAGUGACGGUAGGUGCAGAAGAAGGACCGGCCAACUACGUGCCAGCCGCCGCCGUAA